UUACCGAGUUUACAACUCCCAAACCCAAUGUGAACGUUACCAAACUGUUGCCUCGGCGGGGUCACGCCCCGGGUGCGUCGCAGCCCCGGAACCAGGCGCCCGCCGGAGGAACCAACCAAACUCUUUCUGUAGUCCCCUCGCGGACGUAUUUCUUACAGCUCUGAGCAAAAAUUCAAAAUGAAUCAAAACUUUCAACAACGGAUCUCUUGGUUCUGGCAUCGAUGAAGAACGCAGCGAAAUGCGAUAAGUAAUGUGAAUUGCAGAAUUCAGUGAAUCAUCGAAUCUUUGAACGCACAUUGCGCCCGCCAGUAUUCUGGCGGGCAUGCCUGUCCGAGCGUCAUUUCAACCCUCGAACCCCUCCGGGGGAUCGGCGUUGGGGAUCGGGACCCCUCACACGGGUGCCGGCCCCGAAAUACAGUGGCGGUCUCGCCGCAGCCUCUCCUGCGCAGUAGUUUGCACAACUCGCACCGGGAGCGCGGCGCGUCCACGUCCGUAAAACACCCAACUUUCUGAAAUGUUGACCUCGGAUCAGGUAGGAAUACCCGCUGAACUUAAGCAUAUCAAUAA
rnacentral:rRNA from 1 species